UACGGAGGGUGCAAGCGUUAUCCGGAUUUACUGGGUUUAAAGGGUGUGUAGGCGGGCCAUUAAGUCAGGGGUGAAAUCCCGGAGCUCAACUCCGGAACUGCCUUUGAUACUAUUGGUCUUGAAUGUUGUUGAGGUGGGCGGAACGGGUCAUGUAGCGGUGAAAUGCAUAGAUAUGACCCGGAACACCGAUUGCGAAGGCAGCCCGCUAAGCAACUAUUGACGCUGAGGCACGAAAGCGUGGGGGAUCAAACAGG
rnacentral:rRNA from 1 species